AGUUUUGAGCUAAAUAUAUUAUAAUAUUAGUUUAUUUAUGAAGGUGUUGUAAAACCUUAUUAAGAAUUAUAUUUAGGGGUGAUAGGCCUUUCAAAAACUAAGAUAUCUUGAAUCUAAUUAAAAGUAUGUAGUACAUUCAACACAACUAUUAAGUGAUUAGGCUUUAUAGAACUAUUAACUUAUAAGGAUUUUUAUUUAUUAUAAUUUAAUAAUUAAGUAUAUAAAUAGAAUAAUAUACAUAUAUUAUAGUUUAUAAGGAGUAAUUAGAUAAAUUAAAGUUCAUAAAUUUUGUAAUAAUGUUAAUAUUAGUAUUAAGUUUAUAUUUAUAUGAUGAACUCGGCAAAAAUGUUUCUCAACUGUUUAUCAAAAACAUAACUAUGUGUAUAAAUACAUAGCGGUUUCUGCUCAA
rnacentral:rRNA from 1 species